ACACACACACACACAUACACACACACACACACAUAUGAAAAUACAAAUACAUCAAUCAUCUAACCAUCAGUAGAUCUAACAGUAUUUACUGUCAAAUUUUGCACACUUGGAGCAGCUCACAGAUUCCCAUUUGAGUAACGGUCUCUACAGAUGUGUGACUGUAUUUCAGUCAGUUGAUGGCCAUCUUUGUGUUGUUGUAAUGUCUACUUUGGUAAGAAGAUGUCCUGGCAGUCAAAUGCCCAUCUCCCUCCAUUACUGGAAUUGUCUGUCAGACUAACAGUUUCAACAGUUUAUCAACAAUAAUGUGUUGGCGUGUUGCCUCAACCGUGACACCAAUUCUUACUUCCUUUACUUCACCUUCAUCAUCCAAAGAUGUUUCUUUAUUAAUUAUGGAAACAUUGUUGAUAUAUUUGGAUAAGUCUGUGUGGUGUUGGUUUUGUUACAUCUGAAGAAAUUGCUAUUUCUUAGGUGUUCUCUGUUAUUUCUGAUAUAACACACAUGGUUUGUUGUCUUGUUGUUGUGUUCAUCAUCAUCAUCAUCACCAUCAUCAUCAUCAUUUAACUUCUGUCGUCCAUGCUGGCAGGGGUUAUAUUUAUAUAUACAAUACUCUCCCAUAAGUAUUUCUCUUGCUAUGUCCAGUUGUUUUCAUCAAGCCACUUGCAUAGAUAGAUUCUUGCUGGUUUGUUGUGUUUUGUGUUUUAUUAUUGUGAUAUUUGUUCCAUUAUAUCAUAUGAUGUUAUGAUUUUGUAAUAUUGUACUUGUCCUCUUAUAUUACAUCAUUUGUAAUACUACAAGAAGUUCCAGCUUAGCAAAGAAGAAAAGCUUUCAAGCCAAGCAGAGGCUUGUCAUCUGGCUGACAAUGGAGCCAACUUUUAUCACAGAAACGAAUGGAAUAGGGAUACAAAUUUAAAGGAAAAAAUUAAAACACCACCACUAAAAAUGAAUAAAUCUUAAAACGUGAUGACAGCACUAUCUUCAGCAAACCUGUUUUAAGAAAUUAUUGUUUUAAAAGUUCUGCAUAAUAAAACAAUUGGUUAAAUGCA